UAAUGCGUGACCGACCUGCCCCAUACACCGGAAUAGCUCCUGGAAACGGGUGGUAAUGCCGGAUGCUCCGACAUGACGCAUGUCGUGUCGGGAAAGAUUCUAUCGGUAUGGGAUGGGGUCGCGUCCUAUCAGCUUGAUGGCGGGGUAACGGCCCACCAUGGCUUCGACGGGUAGCCGGCCUGAGAGGGCGACCGGCCACAUUGGGACUGAGAUACGGCCCAGACUCC
rnacentral:rRNA from 1 species